GGGCCCGCACAAGCGGUGGAGUAUGUGGUUUAAUUCGAUGCAACGCGAAGAACCUUACCAGGGUUUGACAUCCUGCGAAUCUCUUGGAAACAGGAGAGUGCCUUCGGGAACGCAGUGACAGGUGGUGCAUGGCUGUCGUCAGCUCGUGCCGUGAGGUGUCAGGUUAAGUCCUAUAACGAGCGCAACCCCUGUUGUUAGUUGCCAGCGAGUAAUGUCGGGAACUCUAGCAAGACUGCCGGUGCAAACCGUGAGGAAGGUGGGGAUGACGUCAAAUCAUCACGGCCCUUACGUCCUGGGCCACACACGUGCUACAAUGCUACGGACAAAGGGCAGCAAGUUCGCGAGGACAAGCAAAUCCCAUAAACCGUGGCUCAGUUCAGAUCGUAGGCUGCAACUCGCCUACGUGAAGGAGGAAUCGCUAGUAAUCGCAGGUC
rnacentral:rRNA from 1 species